rnacentral:rRNA from 1 species
CCUACGGGCGGCAGCAGUGAGGAAUAUUGGUCAAUGGACGAGAGUCUGAACCAGCCAAGUAGCGUGAAGGAUGACUGCCCUAUGGGUUGUAAACUUCUUUUAUAUGGGAAUAAAAUGUUCCACGUGUGGGAUUUUGUAUGUACAAUAUGAAUAAGGAUAGGCUAACUCCGUGCCAGCAGCCGCGGUAAUACGGAGGAUCCGAGCGUUAUGCGGAUUUAUUGGGUUUAAAGGGAGCGUAGGUGGAUUGUUAAGUCAGUUGUGAAAGUUUGCGGCUCAACCGUAAAAUUGCAGUUGAAACUGGCAGUCUGGAGUACAGUAGAGGUGGGCGGAAUUCGUGGUGUAGCGGUGAAAUGCUUAGAUAUCACGAAGAACUCCGAUUGCGAAGGCAGCUCACUGGACUGCAACUGACGCUGAGGCUCGAAAGUGUGGGUAUCAAACAGGAUUAGAUACCCGGGUAGUC